GUGGGGAAUAUUGGACAAUGGGCGAAAGCCUGAUCCAGCCAUGCCGCGUGUGUGAAGAAGGUCUUCGGAUUGUAAAGCACUUUAAGUUGGGAGGAAGGGCAGUAAGUUAAUACCUUGCUGUUUUGACGUUACCGACAGAAUAAGCACCGGCUAACUUCGUGCCAGCAGCCGCGGUAAUACGAAGGGUGCAAGCGUUAAUCGGAAUUACUGGGCGUAAAGCGCGCGUAGGUGGUUUUGUAAGUUGGAAGUGAAAUCCCCGGGCUCAACCUGGGAACUGCUUGCAAAACUGCUGAGCUAGAGGACGGUAGAGGGUGGUGGAAUUUCCUGUGUAGCGGUGAAAUACGUAGAUAUAGGAAGGAACACCAGUGGCGAAGGCGACCACCUGGGCUGAUACUGACACUGAGGUGCGAAAGCGUGGGGAGCAAACAGGAUUAGAUACCCCAGUAGUCC
rnacentral:rRNA from 1 species